CCAUUGCAGAAACAACAAUUCUUAAUCGAGGAACAUGGUGCAUUUGUUUGGCAAUUCAUGUGUCCUAAGCUGCUCUUAGAAGACUUCUUUCGGUGGAUGAACUCCUUUCUUUCGCCAGAGGAAAGAGAAAAUACUGCAAUGUAUUAAACAAGUUGUACCCGAGGGCUUACUUCUACAAGAGCUAGAGGAAUUGCUGAUGACGUCGAUUUGCUUACGUGGUUGCACCAUCGGAUCUGACCAUAUGAAUCGAAUAUAACUGAAGAGGAUUCGUACAUCUCAACUUUACUUUUUGGAAUCGAACUCAUUCACUCUGGUAUAUGAUGAAAGUCAGCUGCAGUUUAAUCGGAGGAAACUGCUAUGUGGUAUGGGGGUCAAA